AGUGGGGGAUAACGUCCGGAAACGGGCGCUAAUACCGCAUACGUCCUGAGGGAGAAAGUGGGGGAUCUUCGGACCUCACGCUAUCAGAUGAGCCUAGGUCGGAUUACCUAGUUGGUGGGGUAAAGGCCUACCAAGGCGACGAUCCGUAACUGGUCUGAGAGGAUGAUCAGUCACACUGGAACUGAGACACGGUCCAGACUCCUACGGGAGGCACCAGUGGGGAAUAUUGGACAAUGGGCGAAAGCCUGAUCCAACCAUGCCGCGUGUGUGAACAAGGUCUUCGGAUUGUAAAGCACUUUAAGUUGGGAGGAAGGGCAGUAAGUUAAUACCUUGCUGCUUUGACGUUACCAACAGAAUAAGCACCGGCUAACUUCGUGCCAGCAGCCGCGGUAAUACGAAGGGUGCAAGCGUUAAUCGGAAUUACUGGGCGUAAAGCGCGCGUAGGUGGUUCAGCAAGUUGGAUGUGAAAUCCCCGGGCUCAAACCUGGGAACUGCAUCCAAAACUACUGAGCUAGAGUACGGUAGAGGGUGGUGGAAUUUCCUGUGUAGCGGUGAAAUGCGUAGAUAUAGGAAGGAACACCAGUGGCGAAGGCGACCACCUGGACUGAUACUGACACUGAGGUGCGAAAGCGUGGGGAGCAAACAGGAUUAGAUACCCUGGUAGUCCACGCCGUAAACGAUGUCGACUAGCCGUUGGGAUCCUUGAGAUCUUAGUGGCGCAGCUAACGCGAUAAGUCGACCGCCUGGGGAGUACGGCCGCAAGGUUAAAACUCAAAUGAAUUGACGGGGGCCCGCACAAGCGGUGGAGCAUGUGGUUUAAUUUGAAGACCUGGCCUUGACAUGCUGAGAACUUUCCAGAGAUGGAUUGGUGCCUUCGGGAACUCAGACACAGGUGCUGCAUGGCUGUUGUCAGCUCGUGUCGUGAGAUGUUGGGUUAAGUCCCGUAACGAGCGCAACCCUUGUCUUUAGUUACCAGCACCUCGGGUGGGCACUCUAAGGAGACUGCCGGUGACAAACCGGAGGAAGGUGGGGAUGACGUCAAGUCAUCAUGGCCCUUACGGCCAGGGCUACACACGUGCUACAAUGGUCGGUACAAAGGGUUGCCAAGCCGCGAGGUGGAGCUAAUCCCAUAAAACCGAUCGUAGUCCGGAUCGCAGUCUGCAACUCGACUGCGUGAAGUCGGAAUCGCUAGUAAUCGUGAAUCAGAAUGUCACGGUGAAUACGUUCCCGGGCCUUGUACACACCGCCCGUCACACCAUGGGAGUGGGUUGCUCCAGA
rnacentral:rRNA from 1 species